rnacentral:rRNA from 1 species
UACAGAGGGGGCAAGCGUUAUUCGGAAUUAUUGGGCGUAAAAGGGCGCGUAGGCGGCUUUGCAAGUGGCGGGUGAAAUCCCUCGGCUUAACCGAGGAACUGCCUGUCAAACUGCAUGGCUUGAGACCAGGAGAGGUGGAGUGGAAUUCCCAGUGUAGCGGUGAAAUGCGUAGAUAUUGGAAGAACACCAGUGGCGAAGGCGGCUCACUGGCCG